rnacentral:rRNA from 1 species
UACGAAGGGGGCUAGCGUUGCUCGGAAUCACUGGGCGUAAAGCGCACGUAGGCGGGUCGUUAAGUCAGGGGUGAAAUCCUGGAGCUCAACUCCAGAACUGCCUUUGAUACUGGCGAUCUCGAGUCCGGGAGAGGUGAGUGGAACUCCGAGUGUAGAGGUGAAAUUCGUAGAUAUUCGGAAGAACACCAGUGGCGAAGGCGGCUCACUGGCCCGGUACUGACGCUGAGGUGCGAAAGCGUGGGGAGCAAACAGG